GACGAACGCUGGCGGCGUGCUUAACACAUGCAAGUCGAGCGGUAAGGCCCUUCGGGGUACACGAGCGGCGAACGGGUGAGUAACACGUGGGUGACCUGCCUCUAGCUCUGGGAUAAGCCUGGGAAACUGGGUCUAAUACCGGAUAUGACUCCACGGCGCAUGUUGUGGGGUGGAAAGCCUUGUGUGGCUAGAGAUGGGCCCGCGGCCUAUCAGCUUGUUGGUGGGGUGANGGCCUACCAAGGCGACGACGGGUAGCCGGCCUGAGAGGGCGACCGGCCACACUGGGACUGAGACACGGCCCAGACUCCUACGGGAGGCAGCAGUGGGGAAUCUUGCGCAAUGGGCGAAAGCCUGACGCAGCGACGCCGCGUGAGGGAUGACGGCCCUCGGGUUGUAAACCUCUUCAGCCCUGACGAAGCGAGAGUGACGGUAGGGCGAGAAGAAGCACCGGCCAACUACGUGCC
rnacentral:rRNA from 1 species